rnacentral:rRNA from 1 species
UACGGAGGGUGCAAGCGUUAAUCGGAAUUACUGGGCGUAAAGCGCACGCAGGUGGCUGAGUCAGUCGAUUGUGAAAGCCCUGGGCUUAACUUGGGAAUUGCAGUCGAUACUACUCAGCUAGAGUAUGGGAGAGGGUAGUGGAAUUCCCGGUGUAGCGGUGAAAUGCGUAGAUAUCGGGAGGAACAUCAGUGGCGAAGGCGGCUACCUGGCCCAAUACUGACACUCAGGUGCGACAGCGUGGGGAGCAAACAGG